rnacentral:rRNA from 1 species
CCUACGGGAGGCAGCAGUGAGGAAUAUUGGUCAAUGGACGCAAGUCUGAACCAGCCAUGCCGCGUGCAGGAAGACGGCUCUAUGAGUUGUAAACUGCUUUUGUACGAGGGUAAACGCAGAUACGCGUAUCUGUCUGAAAGUAUCGUACGAAUAAGGAUCGGCUAACUCCGUGCCAGCAGCCGCGGUAAUACGGAGGAUUCAAGCGUUAUCCGGAUUUAUUGGGUUUAAAGGGUGCGUAGGCGGUCGGUUAAGUUCGAGGUGAAAUCCCGAGGCUCAACUUCGGAAUUGCCGCUGAUACUGUUAGGCUAGAGAGUAGUAGCGGUAGGCGGAAUGUAUGGGGUAGCGGUGAAAUGCUUAGAGAUCAUACAGAACACCGAUUGCGAAGGCAGCUUACCAAGCUACGUCUGACGUUGAGGCACGAAAGCGUGGGGAGCAAACAGGAUUAGAUACCCUUGUAGUC